GAUGAAGAACGCAGCGAAAUGCGAUAAGUAAUGUGACUUGCAGAAUUCAGUGAAUCACCGAAUCUUUGAACGCACAUUGCGCCCCUUGGUAUUCCGAGGGGCAUGCCUAUUCGAGCGUCAUUAUCACCCCUCAAGCCUAGCUUGGUGUUGAGACCUGCUGUCAAGGCAGUCUCUAAAAUCAGUGGCAGUGCUGUCAGGCUCUAAGCGUAGUAAAUCUAAUCGCUAUAGACACCUGGUGGACACUCGCCAGAACCCCCCCAUUUUUUAAUGAUUGACCUCGGAUUAGGUAGGGAUACCCGCUGAACUUAAGCAUAUCAAUAAGCGGAGGA
rnacentral:misc_RNA from 1 species